GGAUGCGAUCAUACCAGCACUAAAGCACCGGAUCCCAUCAGAACUCCGAAGUUAAGCGUGCUUGGGCAAGAGUAGUACUAGGAUGGGUGACCUCCUGGGAAGUCCUCGUGUUGCAUUCC
rnacentral:rRNA from 3 species